UGCUGUCUGCUCGUUGCUAGGCUGGCUCACUUCAACAGUUUUGCCAAUAUCUCCUGAACAAAUUAUUAUCAACAAUCUAAAUUCUGAUUUAUCAAUAAAACGAUCGUUAGUAAUUUAAAAAAUUGAACGAAAAUUGUUCACAAUACUAUUGCUCUAAUCGCUUAUUCGAACAUCUCUAACUGACACAACCUAGAGAAAUUAUUUUGUACUCAUGGUUACAUUUGCAUGCACGUGUGCGUUGAAAUAGUAACUAGUUACCUUUCUUCUAGCGUUUUUAAACCUCUAACAAGCAUAGGUCUUUUCGAAUAAACGUGGAGAUUCUGCUUUGUGUUUGUUGAAAAGGCAAAUUGAACGAUCUUGAACCAUAAUGAGGUGAAUUUCGACUGUAAAAAAUUACGUGGAGUACACUCAACAAAUGGUUAUUCUUCUCUUCUGGAUUGAAAACUACAAGCGGCGAUACUUUACUUUGAAUAAGAAAUUCCUGAAAUACUUCUUGAGAAUCUAAUUCUUACAGCAUUCGCGGCUGCUCCCGUACCGCCGAGUUCAUCCAUGGAAACAGAUGAUCCGCAACUUCCCGCCUGUGCUCACAUACCAAAUCAUGAUUAUGCACAUACUGGGGAUUAAACCAUUCUACUGGUCGAAGUGGAACAGGUCCGCAUGGCAUUGCUGCGAGUACGUUAGGACUAGAAUGUCCAGGAACAGGUGGUCCGACCAACAUGACAGGAUACUCGUAGUAAUAUCCAGUAACUUGAUCGUAGAAACCUCCAUAUGCAAAUUGAGCUGCUCCCUCCGGGACAAUGGCAAACUCACCACCGUAGCCACCAUCCAAUAACUGCUGAUCCUCCGCCGUCUCGCUACCAUCUGUGAAAAAUUGUCUGGAUACUGACAACAUUUUAGCAGUGGAAUGUGCAGCGGACUGGCUUUCGUUGGUUGAUGGAGUAGUAGUCGCGCUAGUUGCGCUAGUGCUUGCAGUACUGGCCAAGGGUUUCUUGCGAGAAAGGUAGCCCUUUUUGAAAAGAACAUCCUGCCUGGGUGUCGUUAUUCUCAUGUAUUCCUCUGUUUGAUUACAAUUCCGAGAUUAGUUUCGAUUCUAAAUUCCAUUAAACCAUGUGCAUGAAAUAUAAAUUAGCCUGCCUUCAUUGAAAACAAUCUUUGGUUUUGUAGGGUCCUCAUCAUUUUUAGCUUGAGUGGAUUUGGAUUGGCCGUUGUAGAGAGAACCAUAUCCAUAUCCAUAAGUAUUUGUUGCAUUGUUAUAUGGUCGGGUGCGUUUAUAUGAUGAAUAACCACUCUGCACACUCCGAUCACCCCUUGCAGAUCUGAUUCCAUUUUCUAACUGGUAUCCUUUGCGCACUUCUUCUUCUUCGUCUUCUUCUCCCGGUGGAGCUGAAAACAAAAUAUGUAAUAUUUGGUUAAUAGAAUAAUUGAGAUUGAAAAUGCACAUCUCAAGAAAUAAUGCCUUCAUUGCUUAAGGCAAAUAUAUAUCCAGCCACGUAAUAAAUAAGUAUGAUGAUGCACAAAUACAAUCAAGCUCAAAAAAAUAAGAAGAUCUUUUAGAUAGAAGGUGAGCAAAUUCAACAAUUUUGAAUUCCCAGACAAAUUUGAUGUUAUAUCAGACAUUUAAAAAUCAUAAUUGACAAUAAGAUAAUGCUCAUGUGGAUUGCUCGUACCAUCUUGGUACCUUGCUAUUAGUAAAGCAUGAUUGGAGGAGCCAAUAACAUGGGAAAUUCUUCGUUGACGACGCCACUGCAUUUCUAAUGUUGGUUCGAAUCAGUUUCAACUUUUCACAAUUUAUUAGUUCCGCAAACGUAGUACAUAUUGUUGAAAUAGAUAAUUACUGUUUACUCAAAUUUCAUUAUUCGGAUGUUUUGUCACACUCUAAACUCUGUAAGAUCUCAUUUUCUGAAUUAAAUGUAUUUGUUUUCCGUCUGUCGAAUAUUCAAAGAGGAGUCAACUUCUGGUCGAUGAUUAAUUAAAAUAUCCAACAUUCAAUCUACAAAUUCUCUCAUUAAUAUUACGGUAUUAUUACAUUUUUUUAAAUGAUUAGUGUCAAUUAUAUGAAUGCCACCUGCGUUUAUGAAAGAAAAAAACUGGCACUUCAAGAAACAGCGAAAGCGGAUUGCAUUAGGCGGUAUUUACUGUACAAAAACAGAUUUAUUUGCAGAUCAUUAUCAUCGGCUAAUAUCGUGUUAGGCAAUUUGUAUAUGUAUUUCACAAUACUCCUAAUAAUGUGUUUGAAAAAGUUCUUUCAUCUCGUGAAUUGGUAUCGGUAUUUUGGCAGAGUAAAGCAAAGAAGUUCACAAUUAUUUAUAUCGUUUACAUAUAUGACCGUUUUGUUAUAUUGUUGCAUUGGUAAUUUUCAAACAUGUCAAUGAUCGAUGAAUCAACUAUACGACACAGCACUUCCUUUCUUUCACACACGGAGCUCAACGUUCAUCUACUUAGAAUUUUCGGUUAAGCUGUAGCCGGUGGGUUGUCUGUCAGCCCGGAACUAUUCUAGUACUAGAAUAGUACAAAAAUAACAAGCUGGGAAAUGAGAAUAAGGGGUGCCAAGAAAGUCGAAGAGGAGAGAAGCGAAGGGGCUUGGAGAAAAAUAAAGUAGAAAGAAUUGGCAUUGGCUCCUAGCACAGCAAAGGAUGAAUAAGAACCUGCGUUGUUGUAAUAAAAACGGGGUUCAUGUUUCUCUGGGUCCUGAUUAUGAAGCAGACUCUAAUAGUGCUAAUUGUCAACAUCCACUUAAAUCUAUUACGGGGUCUCAUGUGGAACUGGCGACUCUAAGAUGGACCAAAUUCAUAUUUGUAAAACCGUUCAGUUGAGGAAUGGUGGAGGUAUCCGUUAAUCAUGUUCAUUAUUUGAUUGUGUGAUCCGGAUAAAAAAUAUCUGAGAAGUUCGUUAGAAAAAGCACCUCGACAACAGACUUUUUGGCAGAUACAGUUAGUGUGUAACAAUUUAUUACGUCCUUGCAAUCACAAAAAUACUGUCUCAAAAUCUGGCGUAUAAAAUAUUCAGGAUAUCAGUCAACGCAAAAAUUUUCUGUUACGUAUCGAUUGAAAUAUUUAAAUUACCUUUCAUUCAUUCAGUAUUUUAAAUCUCAUGAAUUUCUUUUGCAUUAUAUAAUUUUUACAUGCAUACACACGAACGUAUAAUUUUUUUUAUAACUUCUAUCAGACGUUCAUUACAAUUUGAGUAUAUGUAUAGUAACACCAAUUUACAAGAUGUAAAUUUGUCAAAUGUUACCCUCUUUCUAAUCCAGCCGAAAGUCGCUAAGAAAAAAUAAAUUCUGCUCUAAAAACAGCCGGUAUCACCGACGACCGAUUAACCAAUCAUAAAUAAUAUACAAUUAUUAACUUUAGAAAAUAAGUUACGAAAUAGUUGCAGCUCCAAAAAAUACACACUUUUGCCUUCUCUUUUCUGGAAAGUAUCUAUCAAGUAUACGAUGAGAUUAUCAUCUCAUUAUAAAACCGGUAUUAUAUUCUCUUAUGCCGGUUUGAUCAAUACAUAAACUGUAUAUAUGUAUAUUUGUACAAUGUGUGUAUAAAAUGCUCGACUGCAUAGGUAUAGUAUGUAGGGAAUAAAAUCAAUUUACUCAUAUAAAAUUUAAAUACUAUCGUAUUAAAAUGGCAAAUGGGGUUACUGGAUGAGACUGAGAAAAAUCGAGAAAUUGCGAAGCUAUUCGUAUAGAUCUGGCUCCUUUGAGAACUUAUGUACUUAUUAUGAACACAUACAAUACACAUAUCUGAAUACCCAAUAUGUAUAUGUUAGUAUUUCAUGCGGUAUAUGCGGCUACUAACAAUAAGUGGUUGUAUGAUUUAUAUAAUUUACCACCGUUUAACAACUACUUCAAUAGGAAAUAUGAGACAGAGAAAGGAGAAAGAGAGAAAUAAAGAAAAUAGUGGCGAAGCAAAGGUGGACUAGGAAGAGUGUUGUCUGAGGAGGUUGAUCUGGUCCUAAUUUACUCCAAAUAUGAAUUGCAAUAAAACCGUCGAAAAAACUGAACAAUGAUGACUAAACAUAUGAUCAUACUGCGCGCAGAACCAAACGAUUCAAGAAACACCACAUAAUCUACACACGAGUAAAUCUUUAAACAAUACAUCUGACACAUACAAAUAAUCCAUCGAGCGCCACCAACACACACAGACACAUCACUACAUAGAGAAUAUAGGAAACAUCACUGCGUAAUGGCUACACCAAUUCCCACAUCGACAACAUACACGUACAGACGGAUACAGCUGUACAGAAGACAUAUCUUUUUUAUAAAAUAAAUAAAAGAGCUAGCUCAAAAUAUACUCUUAUAAUCGGACAUUCAAGUUUUUAAAUAUAUCGUAAUAAGAUAUUUGUUAUUUAUUACCCAAUAUUUUUCCUAAAAUAAGCUAAAAAUUUCAAUUAAUUAGAGACACAGGCCAGCGAAAUGGCCCGAAAAUGAUCAUUUUUACAAUGGUAAAAAAAAAAAUUUCCAUACGCAUAAUAAUGUUCAGAUUACAUAGUUUACAACAAUUAUAUAGGAUAGCGUUAAAAUACGAAUAGGUAUACAGUUAUAAAUCCGAAUUCAAAUCUCCGGUUAAUAAUAUUCUUCCAUCUUUCUCUCUCGCUCUCUCGCUUUCUCUCUCUGUCUUUCUCUCUUGCUAUUUCAUUCUUGAUCCACACACUGAUCAUCGGCGGAGGUAUCGGGCAUGUACUAGAUGUGGAAAACGAAGCCGAGUAUCGAACCCGCUACAAAACUGGGAGGGAUUCGCGCUUGCGCUCGCGAAAAUCAACCCCUCGAGUUCAAUUUCCUCUGGGUAUUGCUACCCGGAUUUCGAAAUAUAUGUAUAAUAUCUACGACGAUCCGUAGCUCCUAUACACAUAUAAUCCGAUUUAUACAACGUGUUUUAAAAAUAUCUGGCGAUGAUUGUUCGAUUUUUCGUGUUGCCAGGGCUAUUCAAAUUUCGAAAUUUAGUAUGGUCGUCCGACGUGGCGAACUGAAAUAUUCGAAAACCGCCUCGAACCGUUUCAAUCCGUGAUUAAUUUCCAAAUAAAUUCACCGCUUUUUGAUCUGCACAUAUUUUUUGAACCACAAAGUUUGUAAAAAAAUAUCACCAUAAUUAUAAUAUACUGAUGUUAUAACGUAGAUCUUUUUCUUCAUCCCGCCGUAUAUACGGGUGAUUCUAACGCGGCGGCGCGUUAGGUUCUAACAUUUGUUGUUACGUAAUUUUUUGUUCUGAACUCUAGAUUCUAUACCUGCUGGUAUAAUACCGUUGAAUAGUUUAUCUAACGUUCGCUAUCACAUUAAAAACAAAAAAAAAAAAAACGUUACUAUCAUAGAUAUAUUAAACUAUAAUACAUGACAUUAAAUAUGGUUCAAUAUAUCUAGACUAUUACACUUCGUUUAGUAAGCUGUUCAACUCAACCAUCGUUAAUCGAUCAUAAACAAACACAUUCGUUUUCUUAAUUACGACUAAAUACAUUCGUACAUCUAAGAUAGGUCUUUGAAAAUUCAAACUAAGUUAUAGCGUCUCUAAAAAUUUUGAACCACCGAUAUGUGGGCAACGGCGUAAUCUUUUAUUUUAUUUUUACUUUCUCAGUAUCAAAUUAUAAUCGCUUUACAAACACAUACUUCCGGUACAAGACAACCUUUUUUUUCCUUUCUCGUCUCUACAUAUACCUGCGUCGGACGUGCGUUUCAAGUCCAAAAAAAUAUAUGUACAUACACUUUCCAUAACAUAAGGCACCCGUUUUUUGUUUUUUGUUUGUUUUUUUUUAUCUUUACUAUUCAUAAAAUUAUCUUAUAGUGUCUAGGUAGUUUCAUUAUUCAAUUUAUAAGUAUAAUGCAGCAUUUUUAUCGAAUUCAACUACAAGGCAAAGAAAUGAACGAUUUAAAGUACACGCAACGGCCGUUCAUUUUACGCCUUCAAAGCAUUACAGGUAUAGUAUAACUUGAAGUUCUUCAUCUUCGUAUCGAAUUACAAAUUUGACCCUUUAUAGUUUAACACAUCCCUAGGCGUCCCCCGUGCACGUCCACAUGCAGUUGCAAAGUCGCACUGCUUAACUUCGACGGACUUCAUCAUGUCAAAUCGAGCAAAUUUACCAUUUCUUUUUCCAUUCAUUUUUUUCCACUCUAUCUAAUGCAGGCUGGAACGAAUUCGCACCUGUGUUCAAUCAAAUGGUUAACUGGGAAGUAUUAGAUGCGACAAGUAGAUUUUUUUUUUAUUAGAUUUUUCUAGUCUAUAUUUCUUCUUUUCCACGUAUUGUACAUAUCUAGUACAUCGCAUCCUGUUUCUAUAAUACAUACAGUAUAAUAUACAUAUACGUGCGUACAUACAUAUACCUCUACUUGCAACGCGUUGAAUUUUACUGGCAAAUUAUUUCCUACUUAUGCGAUGUAAAAGUUUGUCUUCACUACAAUCGUCGUUG